rnacentral:rRNA from 3 species
UGUGACCUCAAAUCAGGUAGGACUACCCGCUGAACUUAAGCAUAUCAAUAAGCGGAGGAAAAGAAACUAACAAGGAUUCCCCUAGUAACUGCGAGUGAAGCGGGAAAAGCUCAAAUUUAAAAUCUGGCGGUCUUUUGGCUGUCCGAGUUGUAAUCUAGAGAAGUGUUAUCCGCGCUGGACCGUGUACAAGUCUCCUGGAAUGGAGCAUCAUAGAGGGUGAGAAUCCCGUCUUUGACAUGGACUGCCAGGGCUUUGUGAUGCGCUCUCAAAGAGUCGAGUUGUUUGGGAAUGCAGCUCAAAAUGGGUGGUAAAUUCCAUCUAAAGCUAAAUAUUGGCGAGAGACCGAUAGCGAACAAGUACCGUGAGGGAAAGAUGAAAAGAACUUUGGAAAGAGAGUUAAACAGUACGUGAAAUUGCUGAAAGGGAAACGCUUGAAGUCAGUCGCGUCAUCCAGGGAUCAACCUUGCUUUUGCUUGGUGCACUUCCUGGUUUGAUGGGUCAGCAUCAAUUUUGACCGUUGGAAAAAGGCUGAGGGAAUGUGGCAUCUUCGGAUGUGUUAUAGCCCUCUGUCACAUACAAUGGUUGGGAUUGAGGAACUCAGCACGCCGCAAGGCCGGG